rnacentral:rRNA from 2 species
GUGUGUUCCAGGUAAAUCCGGUUCACUUUAACACUGAGGCGUGAUGACGAGGCACUACGGUGCUGAAGCAACAAAUGCCCUGCUUCCAGGAAAAGCCUCUAAGCAUCAGGUAACAUCAAAUCGUACCCCAAACCGACACAGGUGGUCAGGUAGAGAAUACCAAGGCGCUUGAGAGAACUCGGGUGAAGGAACUAGGCAAAAUGGUGCCGUAACUUCGGGAGAAGGCACGCUGACACGUAGGUGAAGUGAUUUACUCAUGGAGCUGAAGUCAGUCGAAGAUACCAGCUGGCUGCAACUGUUUAUUAAAAACACAGCACUGUGCAAACACGAAAGUGGACGUAUACGGUGUGACGCCUGCCCGGUGCCGGAAGGUUAAUUGAUGGGGUCAGCGCAAGCGAAGCUCCUGAUCGAAGCCCCGGUAAACGGCGGCCGUAACUAUAACGGUCCUAAGGUAGCGAAAUUCCUUGUCGGGUAAGUUCCGACCUGCACGAAUGGCGUAAUGAUGGCCAGGCUGUCUCCACCCGAGACUCAGUGAAAUUGAACUCGCUGUGAAGAUGCAGUGUACCCGCGGCAAGACGGAAAGACCCCGUGAACCUUUACUAUAGCUUGACACUGAACAUUGAGCCUUGAUGUGUAGGAUAGGUGGGAGGCUUUGAAGUGUGGACGCCAGUCUGCAUGGAGCCGACCUUGAAAUACCACCCUUUAAUGUUUGAUGUUCUAACGUGGACCCGUGAUCCGGGUUGCGGACAGUGUCUGGUGGGUAGUUUGACUGGGGCGGUCUCCUCCUAAAGAGUAACGGAGGAGCACGAAGGUUGGCUAAUCCUGGUCGGACAUCAGGAGGUUAGUGCAAUGGCAUAAGCCAGCUUGACUGCGAGCGUGACGGCGCGAGCAGGUGCGAAAGCAGGUCAUAGUGAUCCGGUGGUUCUGAAUGGAAGGGCCAUCGCUCAACGGAUAAAAGGUACUCCGGGGAUAACAGGCUGAUACCGCCCAAGAGUUCAUAUCGACGGCGGUGUUUGGCACCUCGAUGUCGGCUCAUCACAUCCUGGGGCUGAAGUAGGUCCCAAGGGUAUGGCUGUUCGCCAUUUAAAGUGGUACGCGAGCUGGGUUUAGAACGUCGUGAGACAGUUCGGUCCCUAUCUGCCGUGGGCGCUGGAGAACUGAGGGGGGCUGCUCCUAGUACGAGAGGACCGGAGUGGACGCAUCACUGGUGUUCGGGUUGUCAUGCCAAUGGCACUGCCCGGUAGCUAAAUGCGGAAGAGAUAAGUGCUGAAAGCAUCUAAGCACGAAACUUGCCCCGAGAUGAGUUCUCCCUGAGACUUUAGGUCUCCUGAAGGAACGUUGAAGACGACGACGUUGAUAGGCCGGGUGUGUAAGCGCAGCGAUGCGUUGAGCUAACCGGUACUAAUGAACCGUGAGGCUUAACCUUACA